AAUCAACGCUGGCGGCGUGCCUAACACAUGCAAGUCGAACGCGAAAGUUCCUUCGGGGAUGAGUAGAGUGGCGUCCGGGUGAGUAACGCGUGGGUAAUCUACCUUCGGGUGGGGAAUAACCCAGGGAAACUUGGGCUAAUACCGCAUAAUGCAGCGGCUCGACAUCGAGACAGUUGUUAAAGCAGCAAUGCGCCUGAAGAGGAGCCUGCGUCUGAUUAGCUUGUUGGUGAGGUAAUGGCUCACCAAGGCUACGAUCAGUAGCUGGUCUGAGAGGACGGCCAGCCACAAUGGCACUGAAACACGGGCCAUACUCCUACGGGAGGCAGCAGUGGGGAAUUUUGCGCAAUGGG
rnacentral:rRNA from 1 species